GACGAACGCUGGCGGCGUGCCUAAUACAUGCAAGUAGAACGCUGAAGGAGGAGCUUGCUUCUCUGGAUGAGUUGCGAACGGGUGAGUAACGCGUAGGUAACCUGCCUGGUAGCGGGGGAUAACUAUUGGAAACGAUAGCUAAUACCGCAUAAGAGUAGAUGUUGCAUGACAUUUGCUUAAAAGGUGCAAUUGCAUCACUACCAGAUGGACCUGCGUUGUAUUAGCUAGUUGGUGGGGUAACGGCUCACCAAGGCGACGAUACAUAACCGACCUGAGAGGGUGAUCGGCCACACUGGGACUGAGACACGGCCCAGACUCCUACGGGAGGAAGCAGUAGGGAAUCUUCGGCAAUGGACGGAAGUCUGACCGAGCAACGCCGCGUGAGUGAAGAAGGUUUUCGGAUCGUAAAGCUCUGUUGUAAGAGAAGAACGAGUGUGAGAGUGGAAAGUUCACACUGUGACGGUAUCUUACCAGAAAGGGACGGCUAACUACGUG
rnacentral:rRNA from 1 species